UACAGAGACUGCAAGCGUUAUUCGGAUUCACUGGGCGUAAAGGGUGCGCAGGCGGCCAAGUGUGUCAGGUGUGAAAUCCCGAGGCUUAACCUCGGAACUGCGCCUGAAACUACUUGGCUAGAGUACUGGAGAGGGUAACGGAAUUCACGGUGUAGCAGUGAAAUGCGUAGAUAUCGUGAGGAACACCAGAGGCGAAGGCGGCUCUCUGGUCUGUAACUGACGCUGAGGCGCGAAAGCGUGGGGAGCAAACAGG
rnacentral:rRNA from 1 species